rnacentral:rRNA from 1 species
GAUGAGCGCUAGCGGCAGGCUUAACACAUGCAAGUCGAGGGGCAGCAUAAUGGAUAGCAAUAUCUAUGGUGGCGACCGGCGCACGGGUGCGUAACGCGUAUGCAACCUACCUUUAACAGGGGGAUAACACUGAGAAAUUGGUACUAAUACCCCAUAAUAUCAUAGAAGGCAUCUUUUAUGGUUGAAAAUUCCGAUGGUUAGAGAUGGGCAUGCGUUGUAUUAGCUAGUUGGUGGGGUAACGGCUCACCAAGGCGACGAUACAUAGGGGGACUGAGAGGUUAACCCCCCACACUGGUACUGAGACACGGACCAGACUCCUACGGGAGGCAGCAGUGAGGAAUACUGGUCAAUGGACGCAAGUCUGAUCCAGCCAUGCCGCGUGCAGGAGGACGGCUCUAUGAGUUGUAAACUGCUUUUGUACGAGGGUAAACGCAGAUACGUGUAUCUGUCUGAAAGUAUCGUACGAAUAAGGAUCGGCUAACUCCGUG